UGCAAGUCGAGCGAACAGAUGAAGUGCUUGCACUUCUGACGUUAGCGGCGAACGGGUGAGUAACACGUAAGGAAUCUACCUAUAAGCGGGGGAUAACAUUCGGAAACGGGUGCUAAUACCGCAUAAUAUCUUCUUCCGCAUGGAAGAAGAUUGAAAGACGGCUCUGCUGUCACUUAUAGAUGACCUUGCGGUGCAUUAGUUAGUUGGUGGGGUAACGGCCUACCAAGACGAUGAUGCAUAGCCGACCUGAGAGGGUGAUCGGCCACAUUGGGACUGAGACACGGCCCAAACUCCUACGGGAGGCAGCAGUAGGGAAUCUUCCGCAAUGGGCGAAAGCCUGACGGAGCAAUGCCGCGUGAGUGAAGAAGGCCUUCGGGUCGUAAAACUCUGUUAUAAGAGAAGAACAAAUUGUAGAGUAACUGCUACAGUCUUGACGGUAUCUUAUCAGAAAGCCACGGCUAACUACGUGCCAGCAGCCGCGGUAAUACGUAGGUGGCAAGCGUUGUCCGGAUUUAUUGGGCGUAAAGGGAGCGCAGGUGGUUUCUUAAGUCUGAUGUGAAAGCCCACGGCUUAACCGUGGAGGGUCAUUGGAAACUGGGAAACUUGAGUACAGAAGAGGAAUGUGGAACUCCAUGUGUAGCGGUGGAAUGCGUAGAUAUAUGGAAGAACACCAGUGGCGAAGGCGACAUUCUGGUCUGUUACUGACACUGAGGCUCGAAAGCGUGGGGAGCAAACAGGAUUAGAUACCCUGGUAGUCCACGCCGUAAACGAUGAGUGCUAGGUGUUGGA
rnacentral:rRNA from 2 species